AUUCAGCAGAUAAGGCUGUUCUGCAGAAUGCCAGCUUGGAGGUUCAUCUAGGGGUCAGCAGGUCCCCUCACAGGGAGCCAGGUUUGGGUAGAUGGACUGAAUGUGUUUCAGGAAAAGUUCGAUUGGAGUGGGGAGAACAUUGAAUAUGAAAGCAGUCUGCAGAGAAAGAUGGAGUGCACAACUGAGAGAGAAACACUGGAGUGCAGAUGGAUGAAUUGGAUUGAAAUACAAAGAAUGAACAGUAUGUAGGAGUUCCAGAUAGAAGGACAGGAAAAUGAAUGGACUUCAUUGCAGCCUGAGUCUCAGCUGGCUGCGGGGGUCCCCAGGAUAGAAUACAACAGACUCUCUUGUCUUUCUGACAAAACUCCAAUGGCGAGGAAUCAGCCUGAUCGACUGAAGGGAACAGAUAUAAAGCAGAGGACAGUCUUACACACAGCUGGUGACUGAUGAAUGUGAUCAUUACUGAACUGAGGCUACUGUAGACAUGGAGAGAGUUGUAUCUCUUUCAUAGUCAUCUGAUUUAGUCACAUGUCUCUCUGUGUUUCUUGAGAUAUAGCUAGCAUGGUGGAUUGGCAUCGCCAAGCAGUGAGGACUAAGAAAGUUUAAAUUUAUUCAUAUACAUUCAUCAUUAAAUACUGUACAUGUAUGCUCUUAGCGAACACAUUUUAACAAAGUGACACAAUAUAGUGCUCAAUCAUGUAC